UGUGUGGUAAUGAAUAAUCACCAUUCCAGCAGGUAAUUCAUCUGUUUAUGUUUUGUCGUUAAUGUGGCCAGAAAAAGAGGGACCGAGUACCUGCCUUGCAUUUGUUAUCUGGAAGUAACUACAGACCCAGGACAACAGGGGGACAAGGAUGGGCGUGAGGCAGCCAGCGGGAGACGUGCCUGUGGUGAUGACAAUUGACGUGCCGCUGUGGUAACGCUGAUUUGUCUGUCCAUGGCUGCUCUGCUACAGAUACACAGUGCGUGAGGAGCCGGCAUCGCAGAGGUGGAGUGAGACCCAGAGAUAAAGAUAUAAAGCUGGAAAUCGGCCGAGGGCACAGUGAGGAAAGCGAGUUCACCGACGGGAGAAGAAGAGAGGCGGAAGAAUGGGGCUGGAGGCGGCUGGAUGGACAUCAAAGCGAGGCUACUCAAACUGAGGUAGCUGUGGAACUCAGGAGGGUCAAGGGAACCAGGGCAAUGCAGGAGAGAUGAAAAGAGGAAUCAAACUUAAAAGACAAAGACAGGUGAAUCAUAGUGAACUCACGGCGGAGAACCUAUGAGAACUUCUUCAAAACUGAGGUCUGAGAGCUCAACAGAUGGCUUCCUGCAAAACGAGGACACACCUUCAGUUAAUGUAGCCCCAAGGAAACUGAAAAUCCACAGUAAACUGUAGAUGUGAGAGUCCCACUAAGAGGACACUGCCCCCUACAGACCGGAGGGACUCCUGACAUUAUCAAUAUCUUCAUUAUAAUACUGAAUAAUUGCCUUACUCUGCUUGCUUUAAAGUCCACUUAAGAAAUCAUUCGGCAGGUAAAUUACCAUCAUACUUUAAUUGAUAUAUGACCGCCUGAACUUACUAUGAAGGUUAAUAAAAUGGCACUCAUCCUGAAAAUUUAUUAUCUGACCGGCAAUCCUCGGUGGAAGAGGAGCUGUUAUUGCACUUUAUCUGGCACUUUAUCAGCAUACUGUCUGGUUUUGCAGUGUUCUGUUUCGCCCGGCACUGUUGCAUACGACCAAUAAAGAUCUUGCAUCUUGAA